UAUGUGAUCGUCUCUCGCAUAUCAAUAAGCGGAGGAAAAGAAACUAACAAGGAUUCCCCUAGUAACGGCGAGUGAAGCGGGAAGAGCUCAAAUUUGAAAUCUUAAAGGGUUUCCCUUUACGAAUUGUAGUUUAAAGAAGUGUUUUCUGUUGAGGUUUUUGGUAAAAGUUCUUUGGAAUAGGACAUCAUAGAGGGUGAGAAUCCCGUAUUUGACCUUUACUUUCAACUUUGUGGUACACUUUCAAAGAGUCGGAUUGUUUGGGAAUGCAGUCCAAAAUGGGUGGUAAAUUUCAUCUAAAGCUAAAUAUUGGCGAGAGACCGAUAGCGAACAAGUACCGUGAGGGAAAGAUGAAAAGAACUUUGAAAAGAGAGUUAAACAGUACGUGAAAUUGUCAAAAGGGAAGCGUUUGACACCAGUGUUGUUUUUCUGAAAAUCAAUUAAAGAACUGUUUAUGCUAAGCUGUUUAGACUUUAUCAGCUAUACUGUUUAGUUUUGAGCUUUUCUUUAAUGCACUUUUCAGUUAACAAGUCAACAUCAAUUUCUUUUGCUGUAAAAAAGCUUGAGGAAGGUGGCUUGAGAUUCGUCUUAAGUGUUUAUAGCCUCUUGCCUAUGCAGUCGGAGAGAUUGAGGUCUGCAGCGUAGAUCCUUCGGGGCUAAAUGCAUUUGUGCUAAGUUAUAGCAUUUUAUAGACAACUUGUUGACUAUGAUUUGUCUUGUAGCUUACUCGCUUAUGUUAUUUUACCUACGCUUAGGAUGUUGAGUCGUAGAGCACGCAG
rnacentral:rRNA from 1 species